UACGUAGGGGGCGAGCGUUGUCCGGAUUUAUUGGGCGUAAAGAGCGUGUAGGCGGCCAGGUAGGUCUGCUGUGAAAACUCGAGGCUCAACCUCGAGACGCCGGUGGAAACCAUCAGGCUAGAGUCCGGAAGAGGAGAGUGGAAUUCCUGGUGUAGCGGUGAAAUGCGCAGAUAUCAGGAAGAACACCCGUGGCUAAGGCGGCUCUCUAGUACGGUACUGACGCUGAGACGCGAAAGCGUGGGGAGCGAACAGG
rnacentral:rRNA from 1 species